UACAGAGGUCCCAAGCGUUGUUCGGAUUCACUGGGCGUAAAGGGUGCGUAGGCGGUCGGGUAAGUCUGAUGUGAAAUCUCACAGCUUAACUGUGAAACUGCAUUGGAUACUAUUCGGCUUGAGAGUUGGAGGGGGACUGGAAUUCUUGGUGUAGCAGUGAAAUGCGUAGAUAUCAAGAGGAACACCAGUGGCGAAGGCGAGUCCCUGGACAACUUCUGACGCUGAGGCGCGAAAGCGUGGGGAGCGAACAGG
rnacentral:rRNA from 1 species